ACCACCUUUAAUUCUUUCAUUUUGGAUCUCGAUCUUUCCCUAGGUUCCGGUGACGUCGCCUUCCUUUUGCUAAUAUUAUUACAGUUAUCCUUCUGAUUGCUGUCAUUGUCCGUGGCUAUGGAUUCUGCUAGGCAUGAGUUGUCGGGGAAUUUCAGAAAGUAUGGCUGCAGCUUCUUCAAAUCUGAUAACUGAAGAGGCUUCAAUAGAAAUUCCUCUGCUCCUCCUUCCAAGCACCUAAUGACAUAUAACACGAAAUAUUUGAGAACUCGGACUUCAUCCCAGAGGCAAUAUUCUAAACUAGAAUUUUCUUGAUCGGGAAAAGAAAAGGAAUUGCUGUUUACUGGAAAUUCAACACACUCAUCUUCUUCAAAACGUUGUUUUGGCAGAAGAGAGAAUUAUGUAUGUGGGAUUCGAAUCGCAGUACAGCUAGGCAGGGUCAAACGUGGUAGUUAAAAAAGAAGAGUCUCGGAUUACGGUAAAGGAGGAGGAGGAGGAGAGGAUAUGAAGAUCAUGAAAUACCUCAUGCUGGGGCGAUUGAUCAGGAGAAGACGACGAAGGUGAAAGGGAAGUGGAGGAAGCACUGAUAUUCUGAAGGUCAUCAAGCAGACCAAGGAACUUCAGAGCUUUAUCCCCAGAGUCCACACAGGUCACUGCAGAUAUAGUUCAUAAUAAUUAAACACAAUUCCUCAUCACAGUCCUGAGAUACGGACGGGAUUAACCAUGAAAGGGCCAAGAUAGCUUUAUAUGUAAAAACUUCACACCUUUGCAUGAAGAAACUGUAAGGAGCCUCUCUAAAAGCUUCCUGUCGAUGACACUGUCAUCCACUGCCAGCACGUGAAAAUGCUUUUGCUCUUCCUUUUGCUUUCCUCUACCCACCGCCACAGCCUCCGAUUCAACCGCCAUUAAUUAUUUAUAUUCCUCCGCCCCUCCGGAUUCCCUCUCUCUUGCUGGUACAGGAGAGGAACCGCAUAGGAAGAUGAAUGAUAAAUGUAAGAGAGGUGGCAAUUUAUUAAGUGCCCUUUUGUAGAAGUAGACGGAUGCAUGAGAAAAACCACAGUGGUCGCUAGUGUCUCUUACUUGUAAAUUAUUCGUAUUAGUUGGGCUAUAGUUUGACUUUCUUAAAAAAAUUAUAUUUUUACUGCCAAUCUGCUAUACAUGAAGUUUAAAUUAUUCUUAU